CAAGACCAGGACGUUGAUAGGUCAGGUGUGGAAGCGCAGUAAUGCGUUAAGCUAACUGAUACUAAUUGCCCGUGCGGCUUGAUCCU
rnacentral:rRNA from 2 species